GACGACAUUUGUGAUAAGUCGUCAAGGGUCUGAUAAGCUGUUAAGAAUGUCAUCAGUCUGAGGCAGCACAGGAGAACUGAAGCAGAGCUUUGACGACAUUUUGUGAUAGGCCAUCACGAAGCUGAUAAGUUGUCAAGUUUAUCGUCAGCCUUAAACAGUAAGAGCCAAAACUGAAGAAGGAGAUGAUGACAUUUGUGAUAAGUCAUCAGCCUUCUGAUAGGCUAUCACAAAUGUCGUCACCUAAUCCGAG
rnacentral:lncRNA from 1 species